UUAGAAACAAAGUUAUUUCCAACAACAACGCACAGUGUUCGGGGUAAGUGAUUUGUUUUGAAAAAAUUGUUGUUUUUUCGAGAAACAGUUUUUCAGUUGAAUUCCAUUGUUCAUAGUGUCAACAAGUGAGUAAAGCUUAAAAUUAUUAAAAAGAGUUUAGAAAAUAAAUUAUAAGCGUAAAAAAGUGAAUAUUUAGGUAAAUUGGUAGGUAAUUGUGUUCAAAUGGACAAGGAAAAUAUUCAGACUUCCGGAUCUAAACAGUCGGCAAUGGACUCCAUUGAAUUUUCACCCACAAAGCAGGCAAGGCGGAUUUUUAAGAAAACGAAUCAACAAGAUAUGAUAGACGAAAUGAGAGCGGACAUUAAACGUUUGUGUGUCACCACGGAGCAGCUAAAAAAUGGGAUCUGCACAUUGUCAGCAUUUUUUUCAAUAAAAUCAUAAAAAUUUAUAUGACUGUUUUUUUUUAAAUAUUUGUAUCCAAAGAUUUAGGUAUGAGUAAAAAAUAAUUCGAUAAUAAAAACAUGAUUGACUUCAUUUAUGCACAUUCACGAAAUUUUUCACCAGGUCAAUUUGCAUUAAUGAAUGAGUUACAUUGGCUUCCCUAAGGAAACCACUGGUCAAUAUUAAUUUAUGAAAAAGGCGUUCAAUUUUGCAAAGUGAAUUCCUUGGUGAAC